rnacentral:rRNA from 1 species
UACGUAGGGGGCAAGCGUUGUCCGGAAUUAUUGGGCGUAAAGAGCGUGUAGGCGGUCCGGUAAGUCGGCUGUGAAAGUCCAGGGCUCAACCCAGGAACUGCGUCCGAUACUGGAAGGCUUGAAUCCGGGAGAGGGAUGCGGAAUUCCAGGUGUAGCGGUGAAAUGCGUAGAUAUCUGGAGGAACACCGGUGGCGAAGGCGGCAUCCUGGACCGGCAUUGACGCUGAGGCGCGAAAGCUAGGGGAGCAAACGGG